UACGGAAGGCAGCAGUGGGGAAUAUUGCACAAUGGGCGCAAGCCUGAUGCAGCCAUGCCGCGUGUAUGAAGAAGGCCUUCGGGUUGUAAGUACUUCAGUCGUGAGGAAGGUGUUAAGGUUAAUAACCUUAGCAAUUGACGUUAGCGACAGAAGAAGCACCGGCUAACUCCGUGCCAGCAGCCGCGGUAAUACGGAGGGUGCGAGCGUUAAUCGGAAUUACUGGGCGUAAAGGGCACGCAGGCGGUUAAUUAAGUUGGAUGUGAAAUCCCCGGGCUUAACCUGGGAAUGGCAUUCAAGACUGGUUAGCUAGAGUCUUGUAGAGGGGGUAGAAUUCCAUGUGUAGCGGUGAAAUGCGUAGAGAUGUGGAGGAAUACCGGUGGCGAAGGCGGCCCCUGGACAAAGGACUGACGCUCAUGUGCGAAAGCGUGGGGAGCGAAACAGGGAUUAGAUACC
rnacentral:rRNA from 1 species